CACGCCGUAAACGAUGAAUACUAGGUGUGGGGGUUGUCAUGACCUCCGUGCCGCCGCUAACGCAUUAAGUAUUCCGCCUGGGGAGNAGCAACGCGAAGAACCUUACCUAGACUUGACAUCUCCUGAAUUACUCUUAAUCGAGGAAGCCCUUCGGGGCAGGAAGACAGGUGG
rnacentral:rRNA from 1 species